GGGUUGUGAGGUUAAGCGACUAAGCGUACACGGUGGAUGCCCUGGCAGUCAGAGGCGAUGAAGGACGUGCUAAUCUGCGAAAAGCGUCGGUAAGGUGAUAUGAACCGUUAUAGCCGGCGAUGUCCGAAUGGGGAAACCCAGUGUGAUUCGUCACACUAUCGUUAACUGAAUACAUAGGUUAACGAGGCGAACCGGGGGAACUGAAACAUCUAAGUACCCCGAGGAAAAGAAAUCAACCGAGAUUCCCCCAGUAGCGGCGAGCGAACGGGGAGCAGCCCAGAGUCUGAAUCAGCUUGUGUGUUAGUGGAACGGUCUGGAAAGUCCGACGGUACAGGGUGAUAGUCCCGUACACCAAAAUGCACAGGUUGUGAACUCGAAGAGUAGGGCGGGACACGUGGUAUCCUGUCUGAAUAUGGGGGGACCAUCCUCCAAGGCUAAAUACUCCUGACUGACCGAUAGUGAACCAGUACCGUGAGGGAAAGGCGAAAAGAACCCCGGCGAGGGGAGUGAAAAAGAACCUGAAACCGUGUACGUACAAGCAGUGGGAGCACCUUUAUGGUGUGACUGCGUACCUUUUGUAUAAUGGGUCAGCGACUUAUAUUCUGUAGCAAGGUUAACCGUAUAGGGGAGCCGCAGGGAAACCGAGUCUUAACUGGGCGUUAAGUUGCAGGGUAUAGACCCGAAACCCGGUGAUCUAGCCAUGGGCAGGUUGAAGGUUGGGUAACACUAACUGGAGGACCGAACCGACUAAUGUUGAAAAAUUAGCGGAUGACUUGUGGCUGGGGGUGAAAGGCCAAUCAAACCGGGAGAUAGCUGGUUCUCCCCGAAAGCUAUUUAGGUAGCGCCUCGUGAACUCAUCUUCGGGGGUAGAGCACUGUUUCGGCUAGGGGGUCAUCCCGACUUACCAACCCGAUGCAAACUACGAAUACCGAAGAAUGUUAUCACGGGAGACACACGGCGGGUGCUAACGUCCGUCGUGAAGAGGGAAACAACCCAGACCGCCAGCUAAGGUCCCAAAGUCAUGGUUAAGUGGGAAACGAUGUGGGAAGGCACAGACAGCCAGGAUGUUGGCUUAGAAGCAGCCAUCAUUUAAAGAAAGCGUAAUAGCUCACUGGUCGAGUCGGCCUGCGCGGAAGAUGUAACGGGGCUAAACCAUGCACCGAAGCUGCGGCAGCGACACUAUGUGUUGUUGGGUAGGGGAGCGUUCUGUAAGCCUGCGAAGGUGGCCUGUGAGGGUUGCUGGAGGUAUCAGAAGUGCGAAUGCUGACAUAAGUAACGAUAAAGCGGGUGAAAAGCCCGCUCGCCGGAAGACCAAGGGUUCCUGUCCAACGUUAAUCGGGGCAGGGUGAGUCGACCCCUAAGGCGAGGCCGAAAGGCGUAGUCGAUGGGAAACAGGUUAAUAUUCCUGUACUUGGUGUUACUGCGAAGGGGGGACGGAGAAGGCUAUGUUAGCCGGGCGACGGUUGUCCCGGUUUAAGCAUGUAGGCUGGUUAUCCAGGCAAAUCCGGAUAAUCAAGGCUGAGGUGUGAUGACGAGGCACUACGGUGCUGAAGUAACAAAUGCCCUGCUUCCAGGAAAAGCCUCUAAGCAUCAGGUAACAUCAAAUCGUACCCCAAACCGACACAGGUGGUCAGGUAGAGAAUACCAAGGCGCUUGAGAGAACUCGGGUGAAGGAACUAGGCAAAAUGGUGCCGUAACUUCGGGAGAAGGCACGCUGGUGUGUAGGUGAAGUCCCUGCGGAUGGAGCUGAGACCAGUCGAAGAUACCAGCUGGCUGCAACUGUUUAUUAAAAACACAGCACUGUGCAAACACGAAAGUGGACGUAUACGGUGUGACGCCUGCCCGGUGCCGGAAGGUUAAUUGAUGGGGUUAUCCGUAAGGAGAAGCUCUUGAUCGAAGCCCCGGUAAACGGCGGCCGUAACUAUAACGGUCCUAAGGUAGCGAAAUUCCUUGUCGGGUAAGUUCCGACCUGCACGAAUGGCGUAAUGAUGGCCAGGCUGUCUCCACCCGAGACUCAGUGAAAUUGAACUCGCUGUGAAGAUGCAGUGUACCCGCGGCAAGACGGAAAGACCCCGUGAACCUUUACUAUAGCUUGACACUGAACAUUGAGCCUUGAUGUGUAGGAUAGGUGGGAGGCUUUGAAGCGUGGACGCCAGUCUGCGUGGAGCCAACCUUGAAAUACCACCCUUUAAUGUUUGAUGUUCUAACGUUGGCCCCUGACCGGGGUUGCGGACAGUGUCUGGUGGGUAGUUUGACUGGGGCGGUCUCCUCCCAAAGCGUAACGGAGGAGCACGAAGGUUAGCUAAUCCUGGUCGGACAUCAGGAGGUUAGUGCAAUGGCAUAAGCUAGCUUGACUGCGAGCGUGACGGCGCGAGCAGGUGCGAAAGCAGGUCAUAGUGAUCCGGUGGUUCUGAAUGGAAGGGCCAUCGCUCAACGGAUAAAAGGUACUCCGGGGAUAACAGGCUGAUACCGCCCAAGAGUUCAUAUCGACGGCGGUGUUUGGCACCUCGAUGUCGGCUCAUCACAUCCUGGGGCUGAAGUAGGUCCCAAGGGUAUGGCUGUUCGCCAUUUAAAGUGGUACGCGAGCUGGGUUUAGAACGUCGUGAGACAGUUCGGUCCCUAUCUGCCGUGGGCGCUGGAGAAUUGAGGGGGGCUGCUCCUAGUACGAGAGGACCGGAGUGGACGCAUCACUGGUGUUCGGGUUGUCAUGCCAAUGGCACUGCCCGGUAGCUAAAUGCGGAAGAGAUAAGUGCUGAAAGCAUCUAAGCACGAAACUUGCCCCGAGAUGAGUUCUCCCUGAGACUUUAAGUCUCCUGAAGGAACGUUAAAGACGAUGACGUUGAUAGGCCGGGUGUGUAAGCGCAGCGAUGCGUUGAGCUAACCGGUACUAAUGAACCGUGAGGCUUAACCUUACAACGCCGAAG
rnacentral:rRNA from 1 species